rnacentral:rRNA from 1 species
UCGAGCGGUAACAUUUCUAGCUUGCUAGAAGAUGACGAGCGGCGGACGGGUGAGUAAUACUUAGGAAUCUACCUAGUAGUGGGGGAUAGCUCGGGGAAACUCGAAUUAAUACCGCAUACGACCUACGGGAGAAAGGGGGCAACUUGUUGCUCUCGCUAUUAGAUGAGCCUAAGUCGGAUUAGCUAGAUGGUGGGGUAAAGGCCUACCAUGGCGACGAUCUGUAGCUGGUCUGAGAGGAUGAUCAGCCACACCGGGACUGAGACACGGCCCGGACUCCUACGGGAGGCAGCAGUGGGGAAUAUUGGACAAUGGGGGAAACCCUGAUCCAGCCAUGCCGCGUGUGUGAAGAAGGCCUUUUGGUUGUAAAGCACUUUAAGCAGUGAAGAAGACUCUUCGGUUAAUACCCGGAGACGAUGACAUUAGCUGCAGAAUAAGCACCGGCUAACUCUGUGCCAGCAGCCGCGGUAAUACAGAGGGUGCAAGCGUUAAUCGGAAUUACUGGGCGUAAAGCGAGCGUAGGUGGCUUGAUAAGUCAGAUGUGAAAUCCCCGGGCUUAACCUGGGAACUGCAUCUGAUACUGUCAGGCUAGAGUAGGUGAGAGGAAGGUAGAAUUCCAGGUGUAGCGGUGAAAAUGCGUAGAGAUCUGGAGGAAUACCGAUGGCGAAAGGCAGCCUUCUGGCAUCAUACUGACACUGAGGCUCGAAAGCGUGGGUAGCAAACAGGAUUAGAUAACCCUGGUAGUCCACGCCGUAAACGAUGUCUACUAGUCGUUGGGUCCCUUGAGGACUUAGUGACGCAGCUAA